AUGGCGGCCCGUGGGCUGCGACUGUCCCGCCGCGCCCGGGCCGGGGCCGCGCUGCUGCCGCUGCUGCUGCUGCCGGUGCUGAGCCGCGGAGCCGCCCAGGAGCUGAGCCCCCGCGGCAGGAACGUCUGCAGGGCCGGCGGCUCCUUGGUUCUCGUGUGCUGCCUGGGAUGGAGGCAACAAGGAAGCGAGUGUUUAAUAGCCGUGUGUGAGGGGAACUUCACAUGUAAGGAGAACGAGGUAUGCGUCAGGCCCGGCGAGUGCCGCUGCCGCCAUGGCUACUUUGGUGCCAACUGCGACACCAAGUGUCCCCGGCAGUUCUGGGGUCCUGACUGCAAGGAAAUGUGCACCUGCCAUCCCAACGGGCAGUGCGAGGACGUGACGGGCCAGUGCACCUGCAACCUCAACCGCUGGGGCCCCAAGUGCGAGAACAUCUGCCUCUGCAAGCAUGGCAAGUGUGACCAGAAGACAGGCAAAUGCACCUGCGAGCCCAACUGGUGGGGCCCACAGUGCUCCAGCUCCUGCUAUUGCAGCCACAACUCCCAGUGUGACCAGCAGACAGGCAACUGUCUCUGCCAGCCUGGCUGGUGGGGCCGUGGCUGCAACAACCAGUGUUCCUGCAACAACUCACCCUGCGAGCAGUUCACAGGGCGCUGCCAGUGCCGGGAGAGGACCUUCGGGCCUCGCUGCGACCGCUACUGCCAGUGCUACAAGGGCAAGUGCAACCAGGUGGACGGGACCUGCACCUGCGAGCCGGGCUAUCGGGGCAAGUACUGCCGUGAGCCAUGCCCGGCCGGCUUCUACGGCCAAGGCUGCAGGAGGCGGUGUGGACAGUGCAAGAGCCUGCAGCCGUGCACCGUGGCUGACGGGCGCUGCCUGACAUGUGAGGCGGGCUGGAAUGGCACCAAGUGCGACCAGCCCUGCUCGCCUGGCUUCUACGGAGAGGGCUGUGAGAAGCUGUGUCCCCCCUGUAAGGAUGGCCACACCUGCAAUCAUAUCAAUGGCAAAUGCUCCCACUGCAACCCGGGCUGGAUCGGAGACCGGUGUGAAACCAAGUGCCGGAAUGGGACAUAUGGGGAGAACUGCGCCUUCGUCUGCAGCGACUGCGUCAACGGCCAGUGUCACUUCGAGACUGGGCAGUGCCUCUGCCACCCUGGCUCCCAUGGCACAUACUGUAACCUGACUUGCCCUCCUGGACGCUAUGGAGCCAACUGUGCUGAUGUCUGCAGCUGCCACGAUGGCGCCUGUGACCCCCUGACGGGUGCCUGCCACAUGGAGGCCAACCAGAGGAUGGGGGUGAUCGGGGCAGGGGCCCUCCUGGCACUGCUGCUCAUCCUCCUGCUCUCCCUGCUCUGCUGCUGCUGUGUCUACCGCAAGAAGGAUGAAGCCAGCGGCUCCAUCCAGGGCCCAGCAGCAGCCAAGAAGCCUCCAAGACGUUUGUGUGGGAGGUUCAGUCAGAUUGGGAUGAAGCUCCCACGCAUCCCCCUACGCCGCCAGAAGCUGCCCAAGGUCAUGGUGGCCCAUCAUGACCUGGAAAACACCCUGAACUGCAGCUUCAUUGAGCCACCCUCUGUGGUGGAGCAGCCUUCCCCAUCCUGGUCAUCCCGUGGCUCCUUCUCCUCCUUUGACACCACGGACGAGGGGCCUGUGUACUGUGUCCCCCAUGAAGAGAGCAUGGGUGACAGCAAGGACAGAGGGACCCUUGCCAGCCCCGGGGACAAGCUGGUGGCCCCCAUCAGCGGGGAGGAAACAGGUGAAUACACAUUCCUGAAGGAGACAGGCUCUGUCAGAGCCUUCCCGACCGACAGCAGUGAGACCCCCCUGCUCAAGUCCUCGGACAGCGAACGCUCCUCCUGUGGUUCAGGGUCAGCCGGUGCCGCGCUCUACGCCAGGGUUGCCCGCCUCUCCAAGCAGUCCAAGGAGGAGGAGGAUGCCACUGCAGAGCCCCACAGCCCCGAGAAGCCUCCAUCCCCAGAAAGGACCAAGCCCCGUCCUCCAGACCCGGCCACGAAGCCCAAAGUCUCCUGGAUCCACAGCAGGUACAACUCUGGCCAGUCCAACUCGCUGCCAGCACCCAGCCACUCCCCAGAGCAAGUGGCCACCCGGUCCGGCAGCCCCGAGCAAGACCAGAGCUUGGCCAGGAGGAAGAGGAGUCCGAGCGAGAUGUCGGCCAAUGUGCAGGGCAGAGCAGAGGAAAAGGGUGGCACCCGGGGCAAGGAGAAAGCACAGAGGCAACCAAAGGAGCCCGGCAUCCCCGAGGGCAAAUCCAACCUCUGCGGGGAGCCCCAGUCACCCUCCAAACCCAAGCAGAGGGGCAAAGCCAGCUCGGAGCCGACGGAGGCCAUCAAUGGGGCGGUGCAGAACGCCUUCCGAAAGAUGGGCGCCUUCCAGCCAGAGCGGCGGGCCGGGGACACCAGGGAUGCUCCUUGCAGCCCCGGCACCAGCAAACCCCGCUCUGAGCCGCUGCAUCCCCAGUUGGCCUCCGAACUGGCCGCCCAACUGAAGGAAAAGACUCAGAGCCUCAACAAGGGGGACGGAGGCAUCCGGGCGAACGGGAUUGGUGCCCAGCGGGAGAAGCCCACCCCUCCACAGAAAGCCAAGCGCUCAGCUGCUGCCGGCAGCCAGAAGACCAGCAAACCCUUGCUGCCCACCUCUCCCCAUCUGCAAAAACUGAUCCCUGCGGCGGCCGAGACGGCAGCCGAGGAGCCCAAGUGGGUGGAGAAGCCAAGUGCUGGCAGCAGCCAGGAUCAGACUCUCCCCACUGACCAGACUGCCAAGAAAACCCCCAUUAAGAAGCCUCCCAGGAAGAAGAGCCGGGAAACGAGCCUGGAGCCCCCCAGGGCAGCUGCUGUGCCUGCUCAGGCAGUACAGUGACCGGGAACCGGUCACCGGCCCCACACUGGCCGCCUGCCAGGAAGGACAUUUGCCAGCACAAUCAGCGAACGUGGGAGCCUGGAUUGGGCUGGGGGCACUGGAAGAGCCUUGAUCCUCCCUUUAUACCCCUCCACUUCACUCAUCCCACUUUAUGCCUUAGUCCUCCCUGUGCUAGGACACGGUCCCUUCAGCUGUGCCCUGCUCCUGCUCUCUGCCCGGGUCUCAGCUCGCCCUCCCUCUCCACGUAGGGUGGGACCUCAAGGAGCCAGCCCGGCCGCCACCCGGGGGGGCUCUGUGUGUGGCGUAUCCCCCUCACACAAUUUUGUUUUUUUGUAGCAGUAUUAUCAACCGCAUAAGCAGCGCUUGUACUAGAUGUGCCCACGGUAUAUUCUGCAGUAACCGAGCCGCUCGCUUCCUGCGCUCCACUCCGGUCAGUUGGGGUCGCGGAGCAUGGGAGAGGGAGAGAGCUGCUGCUCAGUGCCCAGGGCAGUGCCAGAGAUGUGCCCCACAUCCAUCGUUGGCAGCAGCUCUCCUGCCUCGGCGCCCUCCAGGCACGGCUCUCCACUGCCGGUGCACGCCGGAGUGGGGUCGAGCUGGUUUCGACCGAUGCCACCUUCCCUCCCCUCUGCCCCGGCGCUGCUCCUGGCCAGGAGGAAGCACUAUUUAUGGAUGGAGCUGGAUGCCCUUCGGGCUCCGGCAUCCCAUCCAGUGGAGCUGGAGGGAUUAGUUUGGUAUGAGAGAGCCUGGCACCUCUGCAGAGUGCUUUCCUAAUAAAAAAUUUAUUUCUUCCAUAGGUGGGUGCCAUCUAUCCCUGCCCCUGCCUUCUUGUGGGCAGGCAACAUGCCUAGCCUUGCUUGAGUGCUACCUGGUCCUGAGUGGGAUGCAGUGGGGAGACUAAUGACCUUGCAGCAGUACAGGCAGGUGGUAAGAAGCAGCAGACAGGGUGGAACGCAGGUCCCCACUGGGGCUGCUGCCACACAUGCUCAUCGGGCAUCAGACAUGAGCCCUGAGGACAAACGAGGAGUUUCUCUUCCCCCAGGAUCCAGCAUUGUCCCAAUGGCUGACCAGUCCCAUGGUCAGAGACUCCUCAGUGUAGCCUGGGUCAGACCCUGAGAUUCAAGAGAUCUCUGACCACUAAGCAAAGAAACCCCACCCCUGGGUGCUCAGGGUGCAGGGACACAAUUGUGUGGGGCAUGGGGGUGUGGAGCUCUGAGCUCAGCUUUCUAACCCCCUGCCCAGGGGCUGCCAACCCUGUCAGCAUUUGGGGUCUUCACACAGCCCCAGGCAUGAUGCUGCCAGAGGACAAGGCUGAGACAAGCCCAGGGGCAGCCCAGAAGCUGAGGCUUCUCCCACACAGCUUCUGCCCAAGAUUCCUAAGCAGGACUCUACCUGACAUUAGAGUUGGGGCUGUCUCCUUCCAAGGGAGCCGGGAGCAUUCAUCUCUACCACUGAGCCAUCCUGAGCUGUUCCCACAGUGGGGGAUGAUGUCCCAGAAGACCACCAGACCAAACAACCACAGCAAUCUCAGAGGUGAUGGGGGCAGCUGGCAAGCACCAGAAUGGGAUGGGACCACGUGGAACCAGGACUGCAACCAGCCCAGCACAGCACUCAGGAGGGGAUGGGGCUCUGGCCCACACCAAGGGCAUGGCUCAGCAUUGUGUAGCUGGAGCCAGCACAGUACCUGACACUGGCUGGAGAAGCAUCAUCACAUAACACAAGGCUGAAGAAUGACAUCACCAGCAUUGCUUCACAGGCUUUUGGUCACCUUUCAGAGUUCCUUCACUCUCCCUCUGCUUUCCUUCAUAUUUUAUUUGGGAAGAUGAAGGAGGACAAUGGCUGAAACUAGUCCUCAGACAUCAGACAGUGCAGAAAAAGGAGUGGAUGAAUGAGCUCAAUUUAACCAGAUACAAAACAGAGAAAAUCAAUAGAAAAAUAGGGACACUGACUCUAUGAGACCUAGGAUGGCAUCCAAGCCCUUCUCUCCACCAUGGAGACUGUCAUUGGACGAACUGAAGAGGCUUCUAAGACACUCAGAUUAAUAGCUGCUCAUAGUUUUGUAAAAGAGAAGUAAAGAAGUUGAAUCCAGGCAAUAAAAGGGCAAAACUAAGUGCAAUUUAAGAGGCAAGGUUUGCCACAAACACCACAUGGAACUUACACACAUCUCUUCAUGUCAAUGCUGAAGGGCACUCAGGGGAGCCACCUGUGAUGCUUAUGAUGGUGAACCAGCAAGGUGAAUUAGGGAAUGCCCCAGCCUCCUCUCAAGUCACUUUCUCACUCAUGCAGACAGCAAAGCUGGGGCUGGUGCCUCAGAAAAGCUGGGCACUCUCUCUGGUCCCCAGGGCUAUCCUGGGACAGCCGAGGAUCACCCAGGCGUAAGCCCAUCCUUGGGCUCUCAUCAUGGUCCCAGCCAGCCAGCAGAGUGUCAGAAUUCCCCGUGUCUCUCUGACCUGCCUCAGCUAGCUCGGGGUCAGAGAGAUAGGAGAUUUUUUAUCCGGCAUGGACAAAGGCAUCCUGCAGGCUUUCUUCCCAUCACUGCAUGUUGGAUACUUCUGACUGACAGCUCCCCGUGACAGACACCAGUGAGGAGGUCUUGUUCAAGGGCUUACAAAUCAACAGAGGCAGAAAACCGUCUAACAAUUUCCUUGCAGCUGUGAGUUCCUCCAGGAAAUGAUACACACUUGCUGUUUUGAGCUGCUUUCAAGGGCUGUUUUGGGUGCCCACCAGCUCCACUCCAUGCAGGUAGCAGCAAACCUGCAGAGCCAAGGAUGGGCACUGUACUCCUGCAGGAUGGCAGCUCCAGCAUCAGCUCCCAGCAGGAAGGAGAAAGCUGUGCCCCAGGGAUCUCUGUGAGCAUGGAUGGUGGUCUGGGACCCUGCACCACCAGCCCUGGCAUGGCAUGGACACCUUGAUCCAGCACACACAGCUUUGCCUUGGGAUGGUGGAGCCUCUGGACUCCAGGAGCUGAAGGUGAGGACGUAGAGGUCAGGCUGAGUCUGCCCACAGCCUCCAGGUGCCAGCCCCAUUCCCACUGGCCUCAUGGCAGUGCCACCCAGAUACCUCUCAACACCGAGCCCACAGACUGGGUUUUGUGAUGCCGAAUCCAAGAAUUGAUGUGCUGGGUAUUUCCUUGAGGAUCUUGGCUUCAGGGUUUCUCCAGCAUGGACUUGCAGGGAAGCAGUGCAGCAGGAUGUCUGGCAGAGACUUCACCUCCCAGCAGCAGCUCCAGGCUCUGCAAGCAGGACUCGGCACCACUCUAAAGCCAUUUUGUCCCCACGGAUGGGCACUCAGGACUGGGCAAAGCCACGGUCUCCUCCUCUGCCCUGUCCUGCUCUGCAAUGCAUUACGUGGGCUUCAAAGUGGGGCUGCACCUUCUGCUCAUCGAGACCUCCGGGGGCGCCUCUGCCGCCCCACUCGUCCAGCCUGAAGGAUGGGGCUGCCAUGAAUGCGUCCUGAGCACUGCUCAGGGGACGGGCUGCAGCCGGACAUCAGGUGGGCAUGCCGCACCUCCCCGGCUGCACACCCGGCAAACCUACCCUGGCUCCGUUUUAAGACUCUCCCUCACCCCAUGGAAUAGUGGAAGUGUUUCUACGAGAUCCAGGACGCCAGUUAAUCCCUGGCCGCAGCGAGCUGCACACAGCAAAAGGACUUCUAACACACAGAGCCAUCGCUGGGCAAAUCCAAGAGCCUGAGCCUUUAUUUCAGCCUCUGUAAGCAUCAUUUGGGAAAAAUCCAUAUUUUUUUGCAGGGAAAGUUCGAGGGCACUCUAUCCAAGUGUUUUGGGCAGGAGAGGAGGAACAAUCAGGCGGAAGCCAGGCAAAGGCUCCGGGUACCCGAUUCAUCCAAAGCCUGUGCUCCCGGCCGCAUCGCGCCUGCCUGUGUUUAGUCUGUGUGGGAGGACAAAUCACUGCGCAAUGUCAUCGCUCUGCCCGGAUCUGGAUUUCAUUAGGAGCCACAUGAUCUGCCCUGGCUGCUGCCGGGGCCUGGCCGCGCUCCUCCCGAGGAGCUGCACAGGAUGCGGGGCGGGGUUCGGGGCGCGGGGCUGAAUGGGCCCCUUGUCUGUAGCAGAGAAGCCGCAGCCUCCUCGUUGGGACGGGCGUUUUUUCCCCCUGAGGGGCUUGGAGACCGAAAAUAUCAUGAAGGGAAGGGAUUGCAGCCUGCAGCUGUCCCCUGCUCAGAUGGUGACUGCUAUUGAGUUAUUUCCCAGGGAUUUAGCGGGUCCCUUUUCUGCUGGAAGUGGCUCUGCAGGAUCAGGCUGUGUUCUGUCCCUUUGCUGAGCCUUUUUUUCUGUGAUUUUUUAGGUCUUGUCCCCACUCGCCUGAAUCGGGAGCAGGGAGGGACGUUCCCUGCAUUCUGCCCGCUCCCCCCCGUGCUUGUAGGUGCGCGGGCUGCAUCUCGGGGAUUUCUGUCAUAGGAAUCAUCUCUCUGUUUUCCGCUUGCACUUGUGAUUUGCAUUUGCUUGCAAUAACUUCAUACACUACUCUGCAAGCAGAAAGGAGCUUUGCAGCUGCGGGAUUUCCAAGCGUGGUUGCAUUGAAGAGUCUGAGAUUCAAAGCAUCCCAGAAAAACGGAUUAAACAGAUUUUUAGGGUCCUCAUUUGGGAAUUAUUCCUGGGCCCAUUUUGUUCCCAGGACCCACGAGCUGGGGUCCCUGCCCCUGCCCAAAGUCGGGCUGCUGACACAGAGGGACACAGAUACUAACUGGACAACCCCAGCCAAGGGAUAGGUGUUGGCUCCAGGCUGAUGCAACCCCUGAAUACAGUCAUAUCCUUUACAUCUCUUGCAUCCCUUGGAUCCUUUACAUCCCAUUGUGACCCUUACAUCCCAUUACACUCUCUGAAUCCAUUGCAGCCUCCUUGCAUGCCUUGCAUUCUUAAUAGCUUAAUUGCUGCAGCCCUGUCAGCAUCCUUUACAUCCCUUACAUCCAUUCCAUCCUUCUCACCUCACCGAAUCCCUUAUGUCCUGCUGCAUCCUUUGUGUCCCCUGCAGCCUGCUGUGUCACUUGCACCCCAUACAUCCUUUGCAUUCACCCCUUGCUGCCCAUGGUGCCUGUACACAGCUCCCAGCCAAGCCCACACACAUCUGUCUCAUCUGAGGUCAUUCUUGGUUAUGAAGCCCUGUGCAGUGACCUGGGAGUACCUGCACCAGCCAGCCAGGAGCCUCUCCAGCAUGUCCAGGGGAAGCAGCUCCUGGCCCUUGCCCAGGCUCCUCAGGCAGGGUGUUGUCCAUGGAGUGAUAUAGACUUGCCACCUCACCCCAAGCAGACCUGACACCCUUCUCUCUGCAGGUAGCAAAGACAUGGAAGGCUCCUGGGCUGCUGAGCCACAAUCCACAAGAAUUUGCCUGGGCUGAGCAUCCAUGUCCCAUUCCAGGAAUGAUGUGCACUCAGGACACAUGGCUGCAGCAUCCCCUCUGAAUCCCCAUGGAGAUUGGCCCCGACAAGCAAAGCCUGGACAUGUUUUCUGACAUGUUUCCAAUGAUGCAUGCUGCCCUUCCAGCCCAGUAGCUCCUAGUCUCCCAGCUACACCAGCAGCCAGCUGGCAAGGGAGCAUGCAGGCUUCACCCAGCACCACCAAGAGCCAGUGACCACCUCGAUCCAGAUCUUAUUUUAGCUACAGCUCAGGGGUGAAAUUCCCAUUCAGAUACUCAGCUCCAGAGGCCAGAGCAGGGGAAACACUUUUACUCUACAGUGUUUAAAUUGGAAUAAAUCUGGUGAGCCUGAGGCUGAGGCUCUGGCAGUCCCAGCCAUGCCCUCCCCUUGCCUGGGGGAUGAGAUGAGGGCCCACAAAAAGGUUUAAAUGGCCUGAAAAGGGAGGGAACAAGGCCGGGGAGAGGUGGCAAAGCCACUGCCACUGCAGUGGGUGACCACGCAGCCAAUGUAGGGUAGAGUCAGAGGGCUUCUGCUGGAGCCCCUACCUCAGAGGGCUGAUGCAGCUCUUGGAAGAUCCAAAGAGAAGUUGGAGGAGACUUGAGGAAACCAUCCAAGCCAAGCUGGCUGAGAAGAGACAAAUCUGGCCUUGAGGAGAGGAGCCCCCCAGACCUGACUCUGCAGGGGGGUUGCUGCUUCAGGAAAACUCUGGCUCCAACCCUGGCUCAGGCACCAGCCAGGGAUGAGCUGCAGGCACCGUGGCUUGGGCUGAGCUGCUGUCCAGACAC